rnacentral:rRNA from 1 species
UACGAGGGGGGCAAGCGUUGUUCGGAAUUAUUGGGCGUAAAGGGUGCGUAGGCGGUCUGAUAAGUCAUCUGUGAAAUCUAUGGGCUCAACCCAUAGUCUGCAGGCGAAACUGUCGGGCUUGAGUAUGGGAGAGGUGAGUGGAAUUUCCGGUGUAGCGGUGAAAUGCGUAGAUAUCGGAAGGAACGCCCGUGACGAAAGCGAGGUCCUGGACGUCUGCUGACGCUGAGACGCGAAAGCCAGGGGAGCGAACGGG